GAUGAACGCUGGCGGCGUGCCUAAUACAUGCAAGUCGAGCGAACGGACGAGAAGCUUGCUUCUCUGAUGUUAGCGGCGGACGGGUGAGUAACACGUGGAUAACCUACCUAUAAGACUGGGAUAACUUCGGGAAACCGGAGCUAAUACCGGAUAAUAUUUUGAACCGCAUGGUUCAAAAGUGAAAGACGGUCUUGCUGUCACUUAUAGAUGGAUCCGCGCUGCAUUAGCUAGUUGGUAAGGUAACGGCUUACCAAGGCAACGAUGCAUAGCCGACCUGAGAGGGUGAUCGGCCACACUGGAACUGAGACACGGUCCAGACUCCUACGGGAGGCAGCAGUAGGGAAUCUUCCGCAAUGGGCGAAAGCCUGACGGAGCAACGCCGCGUGAGUGAUGAAGGUCUUCGGAUCGUAAAACUCUGUUAUUAGGGAAGAACAUAUGUGUAAGUAACUGUGCACAUCUUGACGGUACCUAAUCAGAAAGCCACGGCUAACUACGUGCCAGCAGCCGCGGUAAUACGUAGGUGGCAAGCGUUAUCCGGAAUUAUUGGGCGUAAAGCGCGCGUAGGCGGUUUUUUAAGUCUGAUGUGAAAGCCCACGGCUCAACCGUGGAGGGUCAUUGGAAACUGGAAAACUUGAGUGCAGAAGAGGAAAGUGGAAUUCCAUGUGUAGCGGUGAAAUGCGCAGAGAUAUGGAGGAACACCAGUGGCGAAGGCGACUUUCUGGUCUGUAACUGACGCUGAUGUGCGAAAGCGUGGGGAUCAAACAGGAUUAGAUACCCUGGUAGUCCACGCCGUAAACGAUGAGUGCUAAGUGUUAGGGGGUUUCCGCCCCUUAGUGCUGCAGCUAACGCAUUAAGCACUCCGCCUGGGGAGUACGACCGCAAGGUUGAAACUCAAAGGAAUUGACGGGGACCCGCACAAGCGGUGGAGCAUGUGGUUUAAUUCGAAGCAACGCGAAGAACCUUACCAAAUCUUGACAUCCUUUGACAACUCUAGAGAUAGAGCUUUCCCCUUCGGGGGACAAAGUGACAGGUGGUGCAUGGUUGUCGUCAGCUCGUGUCGUGAGAUGUUGGGUUAAGUCCCGCAACGAGCGCAACCCUUAAGCUUAGUUGCCAUCAUUAAGUUGGGCACUCUAAGCUGACUGCCGGUGACAAACCGGAGGAAGGUGGGGAUGACGUCAAAUCAUCAUGCCCCUUAUGAUUUGGGCUACACACGUGCUACAAUGGACAAUACAAAGGGCAGCGAAACCGCGAGGUCAAGCAAAUCCCAUAAAGUUGUUCUCAGUUCGGAUUGUAGUCUGCAGCUCGACUACAUGAAGCUGGAAUCGCUAGUAAUCGUAGAUCAGCAUGCUACGGUGAAUACGUUCCCGGGUCU
rnacentral:rRNA from 1 species